ACAACAGUGAAUAAUACCCGAGACCUGUACUACGAAGCAAGAUUUGGCGGUAACGAGGUAAUUUCAGGUUCAACCCAGGGUUUUCUGUAUCACAACGGUGGAUGACUUGUUACCGGGUUCAAUCGCCAUGGUAACUUAUGCUGAACACCUAACCUGGUCGGGAGCAGGUUGUGUUGGAGAUUAGAGAACCGGUGUAAAAGCACUGCCUACUGACC